ACUGUUUACCGCUAAUUUUUUAUUUUUGUUACAAGCCGUGUUUCGUUAAAGCCUGUGUAAAGUUCAUUUGUUUCAAUGUACCGGUAGGCACCUGCGGCUUAUAGACAUGUGCGGCUUAUUUAUGUUCAAAAUAAUUAUUUUUUUAAAAUUCAGUGGGUGCGGCUUAUAUUCAGGUGCGCUUAAUAGUCCGGAAAUUAUGGUAAUAAUAAUACCACAUUUUGAAUCAGUGAGAAGGAGCACCUUACAACCAGAUGAAAAAUAUUGUAAAUAGAAGGAAUCACAACAAUAAAAUUGAUAUUAUCAAUUCAUAUCAAGGCAUAACUUUUCCAUGUGACAAUUUAAGACAAAAAAAAGUUAUCCUUAAGAAACUUAGUUUCCACAAAUCCCAUUGCUUAACCCUUGUGUGCUGUUCGGGUCUGUGGAACCCAUUUUCAGUGUGUAAAAGAAGUUAGGCAAUACAUUUUUUUUUCAACCUGAGACUCAUUGGCCUUGGCUCAUUUUCUGUGAAGAACAUAUAAAAGAACACUUUUUACACUGUAUACCCCCCCUACACAUAUAUAUUACAUAUGUGGUAUUCGGGUCCACUGGACUCAAGGGUAACAAAAGUGUGGAAAUGAGAGUAUCGUCUACAGCGCACCAAGUAAAACCCAACAUUCUGGCAGCUGACCGAGCCAUCAGACGGCUGGUAAAGGCAUGGCUCCACCUGAUACCUGGCACCUCUAACGGAAUACUCUACAGUAAGCGGAUCAGUGGAGGGUUGGCUAUCCCAUGCCUAUUUAAAACGGGGGCAGUGUGUAGAGCGAAACGCACCUGUACCACUGUACCACUCUGACGACAAGGUCAUUUCCGAGAUGGCAAGGAAAAGUAUUUUGCCCAGGACUUUCCAGACACAAUGGCUAGCUGGGGGGUGGGGGGGGGAGUUGGAGCGGUUAUCCAAAGUCCUAGCCGAUCUUAUGGAAGUAGGCGAAGUCACUUACACCAGGCCUAAAUGUUGGAGAGAUGCGCACUUCGAAUCUUGGUGUCAGAAGAGGCCCCAAGGAUUUGGGGUGAGGCUCUUCGAGAAGGACAAGGCCAGCAACUUCUGGUUGAGAGAGAAACGACGGGCUCAGUGGAAGGAGUCUCAUUUCAACCGCGGCCUGCAGAUGAUGAAAAUGUGCUCCCACCGACAAAAAGUCGCAGACCCCUAGGUGAUACGGCGAAACCUAGCGCUCCGCACCACUCUGACAGAGGUGGUCCCCCAUGCCGUGUCGACACCACGCUGGUGGGUAUAGGUGGUUGUCGAUACACUUCCCCCCAAGCGUGAAGGCGGAUUGUGGAUAGUGAGGAAAGAAUUGUACUCCUUGAUGUAGCCAAAUGCCUCGUCAUCUAAUUAGCAUGAAUGGAUGAACGAGAUUCCCACUGUCCCUACCUACUAUCCAGCGAAACCGCAGCCAAGGGAAUGGGCUUGGCAGAAUCAGCGGGGAAAUAAGACCCUGUUGAGCUUGACUCUAGUCUGGUACUGUGAAGAGACAUGAGAGGUGUAGAAUAAGUGGGAGGUCUCGGCCGACGGUGAAAUACCACUACUCUUAUCGUUUUUCCACUUACACGGUGAGGCGGGGAGGCGAGCCCCGAGCGGGUUCUCGUUUCUGGUAUCAAACCCCCGGCUUGCCCAGGGGCAACCCGUCCCGGGGAGAGUGACAGGUGGGGAAUUUGACUGGGGCGGUACACCUGUCAAAUGUUAAUGCAGGUGUCCUAAGGCAAGCUCAGGGAGGACAGAAACCUCCCGUGGAGCAAAAGGCCAAAAGCUCGCUUGAUCUUGAUUUUCAGUAUGAGUACAGACCGUGAAAGCGCGGCCUCACAAUCCUUCUGAUUUUUUGGAUUUUAAGCAGGAGGAGUCAGAAAAGAUACCACA
rnacentral:rRNA from 1 species